UACGUAGGGGGCAAGCGUUGUCCGGAUUUAUUGGGCGUAAAGAGCUCGUAGGCGGUUUGGUAAGUCAGGUGUGAAAUCUCCACGCUCAACGUGGAGGGGCCACCUGAUACUGCCAUGACUGGAGUCCGGUAGAGGAGUGUGGAAUUCCCGGUGUAGCGGUGAAAUGCGCAGAUAUCGGGAGGAACACCCGUAGCGAAGGCGGCA
rnacentral:rRNA from 1 species